rnacentral:lncRNA from 1 species
AUUCCCGAGCCGUUGUCGAUCACCACCGGUAGCUGGCAGUGGUUCAUGCCGCCGCUGCUGCCGCCGCCUCCUGUCUCUGAGCCGCUCUAGCUACGGGCUCGGCCGGGGCCGAGUGCCUGGAACGCCGCGUCACAGAGGCCCCGGCACGGCCGGGUGAGGCCAGAGUCCUGGGGGCGCAGGCAGGGGGUCGGCAGGGCCCCAGGCGGAAGGACUCGCUGGACGCACCGUGCUCCUCAUGUUACCGCCCGCUAUUGCUUCUCGCAGGAAUUGGGCCACCCCAACACCUGGAAUCCCGGAAUCCCAGUAUCAGGAAAACCCGACUUUCGCAUCAAAAGAUUCAACUCUAACCCUUCACAAGUGCAUUUCUCAAAUACCCAGAAGAGCUAUAACAGCAGUUUUAUUUUCCAAAGCCACGGAAUUCUGGUUAACUGGUGGCGGUUCCGGGGAGUUCUAGAAUUCGCCCUUGAAACUGGGGAAAAAUGAGACUUAAGAGGAGAAAGUUGUUGCAGGAAGGGAGGCAGUGUCUGCUUCUGAAAUGUUAAACUUCUAAAAUAAGGAGAAAAAUGCUGGAAUUUAAAUGAGUUUUAAGCUGAAGGACGUGCCUGUCUUUUUGCAGGAAAAGUGAAGUUUAUCAGGUCAUAUGAAAUUCAAGUUUGGAAAAAUUUGAAAGUACAUUGCAUGUCAAUAAACGCAUCUUGGUGUCUGAUUCUGCAUACAUCUGUAGAGAAUUUGAAAACAAGCAGUCAAUUUAGAACUUCUGCUUGGUCUUCGGAAGCAAAAAGAGGAAAUUCAAAAGUAAUUUUACACGUCCUUCCACCAGAAGCUGAAAGGAUGGCUUUUUCGCGGCUGAAUAACGAAAGCCCCCUGCUUCGCCCCGGACUCUGAGCAGCUCAACCUGCGGAAAGGAUGUGUAAUAAAACGCCUUUCCAGGGAGACAAAAAAAAAAAAGGCCACCCAAAGGAAGGGCAACUCGGGAGUGCCUGGUUUCUACUGCGGUACCCGGGCACUUUGGAAGAAA